AAAUAUAAGCAUACAUUGAAAUGCUAUUCUACUAUGCCACAAGUAUACAUGAUAUGAACGUGGAGUACAUCUACUCUAUCAUGAAUCCAAUAUGCCGAUGCAUAACAGGUAUGCCCUACCAUGGCUACCCAAAAGCUGUGAUGCAACAAGUAAUACUACGAAGUAUACUAUCGUGGCAAUUAAGGAUACCACAAUUCCCAAUGUCAACAGAAUCCAACCACGAUACACAAUCAAAUAGUGUUUAUCACUUAUUGUUUACUGUUCUAGUCAAUGUCCACAUGGCACUUUAACUAUUUAAAGUUCAACUCUGAUAAGACCCACCCGAAGGCUGUCUGGCGUGAGACCCACCCGAAGGCUGUCUGGUAUGAGACCCACCCGAAGGCUGUCUGGCGUGAGACCCACCCGAAGGCUGUCUGGUAUGAGACCCACCCGAAGGCUGUCUGAAGUAUCAAGUCCUCAUGUCGAAAACAUGGAAUUACUCACUAGCAACCCAUAGGUCUAGUCUAUGCCUCAAGUGAAGGUUUACUAUGUCAAUGAUUCCAAUGUCCUAUGUGACCUUAGAUUUACUAAGUCCAUACGUAUUCCAAGCCUAAUGCCUCUUUACGGCAUUAGCUUACUACACCAAUUCCAAGCCCAAUGUCUCUUUAUGACAUUAGUUUACUAGGUUCAUACAUGUCCCAAGCUCAAUGUCGCUUUAUGACAUUAGCUUAAUAUACCAAUAAUAGGAUAAUACGCAUGCUCUCUAGCAUUAUCUCACAUUGCUAAUAUGUAUCUAGCAUG
rnacentral:lncRNA from 1 species